rnacentral:tRNA from 1 species
GGUUGUGGUUCGGUGGCAGAGCAUGUGCUUAUCAUGCACAAGGCCCUGAGUUCAAUCCCCAGCACCA